AUUUUAGGGCGGGGAUGUGUGUAAAUCUCAAGCUCAAGGGUCCCGGGCAUAGCUGCCAAUUUCUCUUAUAAUCUAUAGACUUUGGGCUUCUUUUUUUGGGGGGGUUGCUUGUUAUAAAAAUCUGACAAGCGACUUUUUAGAAAUUUAGAAUCACUUUUCCCCAACAUGAAAAUACUGACAAUGUCUACUGUGUAUUCAGCAUUGUAACGCCCGCAAUAGAGAGAUCCCAGAGAUUUAAGAGAUCCCAGAGAUCCGAGAGAUCCUGCUCCCCAUGUGAGGGUCUGCAGCCCAGUGUUCCUAUGAUAGCCAUCCCUGACCAAGAUCAUCAAGUUCAUCCAUCUGUGUAUUCCAGGCUGUAAGUGGUAUACAAUCCAUGAUGUGCUCACCUUACAUCACACCUUGCCCCAGACCAACUGCAACCCUGAUUAGGAGGAAGUGCUACUAUAGACAAAUAAGCUAUAUUUUAGCAGCACACCAUGACCUUCAGUGACCCUGGUGCUAAUAAGAAAGCAUUGAUGUGUGCAAAACAAGGGAGACUGAAUGAGGAUGGAAGAGAAGCAAUGAAUGUAAAGGUUCUCAAUAUGCUAAGAAAUGAGACAGUAUAACUUUUCAGAAUGAAUUAAAAUGUUUGCAUAGCUGGCAAAACUUUUCUCUGCAUUGAGAUGAAGAAGGAGAACUGAAUUAAGAUACAUUGAGCUUUCUAAGUUUAAAUCAUAAAAUUUGUAUUUAAGUCAUUUCAUCAGCAGCCUUCGCUCUCUUGCCUGUGGGUUGCAGUUUAACUCUAAUUAGAGGGCAGUUUGGGCUGUAAUGUCCUCGACCUCCCUCACUGGUUAUAAUUCCCACUUAAAAAACAGUGUUUUAUGCCAUUUUCCACAGAAGAACACGGUCAUGAAAUCCUGGAGGCCAUUAGUGCACAAUCACUGAAUGUUGCUGAGUCAUUGCUCAAAAGAUUUGUGGACGUUUGAGAAAGAUAGAGCGAGGAGAAGAAAGGCUUUCAUCCAGCAUUACCCACGCCAAUUACACCCACUAACUUUGCACAACAUAGCCUUGUUCCCUGCUCAUUAAAAACAAUCUCUUUCAUACCCACACUGAAACAUUUAAACUUGCAUACAUUUGACUUUGGGAUUUGUCCUUAUAAAUAAAAACAUAAUCUAAUGACUUUGUAAUGUUUUUCUCUCUUAUGAUUAUCCCAUUCCUUUAUAAACAUUAUACCAUUUUCUUUGUUUACAAUUGUACUUUCUAUAAAUAACCACUAGAUGGAGCAGGUGUGCUGUCUAUUAUUCGUGGCACCUGUAGUCUGUGUGUGUGUGUG